AACACGUGGGCAACCUGCCCAAAAGAGGGGGAUAACACUUGGAAACAGGUGCUAAUACCGCAUAACCAUAGUUACCGCAUGGUAACUAUGUAAAAGGUGGCUAUGCUACCGCUUUUGGAUGGGCCCGCGGCGCAUUAGCUAGUUGGUGGGGUAAAGGCUUACCAAGGCAAUGAUGCGUAGCCGAACUGAGAGGUUGAUCGGCCACAUUGGGACUGAGACACGGCCCAAACUCCUACGGGAGGCAGCAGUAGGGAAUCUUCCACAAUGGGCGAAAGCCUGAUGGAGCAACGCCGCGUGGGUGAAGAAGGUCUUCGGAUCGUAAAACCCUGUUGUUAGAGAAGAAAGUGCGUGAGAGUAACUGUUCACGUUUCGACGGUAUCUAACCAGAAAGCCACGGCUAACUACGUGCCAGCAGCCGCGGUAAUACGUAGGUGGCAAGCGUUAUCCGGAUUUAUUGGGCGUAAAGGGAACGCAGGCGGUCUUUUAAGUCUGAUGUGAAAGCCUUCGGCUUAACCGGAGUAGUGCAUUGGAAACUGGGAGACUUGAGUGCAGAAGAGGAGAGUGGAACUCCAUGUGUAGCGGUGAAAUGCGUAUAUAUAUGGAAGAACACCAGUGGCGAAAGCGGCUCUCUGGUCUGU
rnacentral:rRNA from 1 species